rnacentral:tRNA from 1 species
ACCUGGGUGGCUCAGUUGGUUAAGUGUCUGACUUCUGCUCAGGUCACGAUCUCACAGUUUGUGAGUUCGAGCCCCACAUCGGGUU